UAUGUGUGGACGGGAUAAGUGCUGAAAGCAUCUAAGCAUGAAGCCCCCCUCAAGAUGAGAUUUCCCAACUUCGGUUAUAAGAUCCCUCAAAGAUGAUGAGGUUAAUAGGUUCGAGGUGGAAGCAUGGUGACAUGUGGAGCUGACGAAUACUAAUCGAUCGAAGACUUAAUCAA
rnacentral:rRNA from 1 species